UCUUAUCCAGAGAGGUGGAGGGACAGGGCCCAAUGAAACCCGGCAACCUAGCAGUAUACUAAGGUGCCAAUUCCCACGUAUUUUUCAUACGUAAGAUGA
rnacentral:ncRNA from 1 species